GUGGGGAAUAUUGGGCAAUGGGGGAAACCCUGACCCAGCGACGCCGCGUGAGGGAAGACGGCCUUCGGGUUGUAAACCUCUUUUGUACGGGAAGAAGGAAGUGACGGUACUGUACGAAUAAGUCCCGGCUAACUACGUGCCAGCAGCCGCGGUAAUACGUAGGGGACGAGCGUUGUCCGGAAUUACUGGGCGUAAAGGGCGCGCAGGCUGUGCUGCAAGUCAGCUGUGAAAUGUCUGGGCUUAACCCGGGCAUGCGGUUGAGACUGCAGUGCUGGAGUGCUGUAGAGGCAAGUGGAAUUCCCAGUGUAGCGGUGAAAUGCGUAGAUAUUGGGAAGAACACCGGUGGCGAAGGCGACUUGCUGGGCAGCAACUGACGCUGAGGCGCGAAAGCCAGGGGAGCGAACGGGAUUAGAUACCCUAGUAGUCC
rnacentral:rRNA from 1 species